GACGAACGCUGGCGGCGGGUUUAACACAUGCAAGUCGAGGGUCGAAACCUCCUUCGGGGGGCUGAAACCGGCGAACGGGUGAGUAACACGUGAGGAACCUACCUUCUGCUCUGGGAUAACCGCGGGAAACCGUGGCUAAUACCGGAUGUUCCACCGGAUCCGCAUGGUUCUGGUGGGAAAGCUCUGGCGGCAGGAGACGGCCUCGCGGCGUAUCAGCUUGUUGGUGGGGUGAUGGCCUACCAAGGCGACGACGCGUAGCUGGAGUGAGAGCUCGAACAGCCACACUGGGACUGAGACACGGCCCAGACUCCUACGGGAGGCAGCAGUGGAGAAUCUUGCGCAAUGGGCGAAAGCCUGACGCAGCCACGCCGCGUGCGGGAAGAAGGCCUUCGGGUCGUAAACCGCUUUCAGGAGGGAAGAAGCGAAAGUGACGGUACCUCCAGAAGAAGGACCGGCCAACUAUGUGCCAGCAGCCGCGGUAAUACAUAGGGUCCGAGCGUUGUCCGGAAUCAUUGGGCGUAAAGCGCAUGUAGGCGGCCCUUUAAGUCGGAUGUGAAAUCCCGAGGCUCAACUUCGGAACUGCAUCCGAUACUGGGGGGCUUGAGGAAGGUAGAGGAGAGUGGAAUUCCCGGUGUAGCGGUGGAAUGCGCAGAUAUCGGGAGGAACACCAGCGGCGAAGGCGGCUCUCUGGGCCUCUCCUGACGCUGAGAUGCGAAAGCGUGGGUAGCGAACAGG
rnacentral:rRNA from 1 species